rnacentral:rRNA from 1 species
UUCGUCCUACGGGACGCAGCAGUAGGGAAUCUUCCACAAUGGGCGAAAGCCUGAUGGAGCAACGCCGCGUGGGUGAAGAAGGUCUUCGGAUCGUAAAACCCUGUUGUUAGAGCAGAAAGUGCGUGAGAGUAACUGUUCACGUUUCGACGGUAUCUAACCAGAAAGCCACGGCUAACUACGUGCCAGCAGCCGCGGUAAUACGUAGGUGGCAAGCGUUAUCCGGAUUUUUUGGGCGUAAAGGGACGGCAGCCGGUCUUUUAAGUC